AAUUUGUAGGUAGAAAAUGUUGGGAGAAAAGUCAUGUAACCAAAGCCCAACUAGAGCUGAAGCUGGCCAAGUCUGUGGGAGAUGAUAAAAAGGUGUUUGUUUGUUUGUUUGUUUGUUUUUAGAUAUGUGAACAGAAAAAGGAGAACCAAAGAAAGCAUGGGUCAGCUACUUGAUGGGGAAGGUCACCUCACAGACAAUGACACAGGCAAAGCAAAGACGUUUAAUGCGUUCUUCGCCUCUGUCUUCAACACUGAUGACGGGCUUCAGGACCCAGGGUGCC